rnacentral:rRNA from 1 species
AGUGAACGCUGGCGGUAGGCCUAACACAUGCAAGUCGAACGGCAGCACAGUAAGAGCUUGCUCUUACGGGUGGCGAGUGGCGGACGGGUGAGGAAUACAUCGGAAUCUACUUUUUCGUGGGGGAUAACGUAGGGAAACUUACGCUAAUACCGCAUACGACCUACGGGUGAAAGCAGGGGAUCUUCGGACCUUGCGCGAUUGAAUGAGCCGAUGUCGGAUUAGCUAGUUGGCGGGGUAAAGGCCCACCAAGGCGACGAUCCGUAGCUGGUCUGAGAGGAUGAUCAGCCACACUGGAACUGAGACACGGUCCAGACUCCUACGGGAGGCAGCAGUGGGGAAUAUUGGACAAUGGGCGCAAGCCUGAUCCAGCCAUACCGCGUGGGUGAAGAAGGCCUUCGGGUUGUAAAGCCCUUUUGUUGGGAAAGAAAAGCAGCAGGUUAAUACCCCGCUGUUCUGACGGUACCUAAAGAAUAAGCACCGGCUAACUUCAUG